rnacentral:rRNA from 1 species
UACGAGGGGGGCAAGCGUUGUUCGGAAUUACUGGGCGUAAAGCGCACGUAGGCGGAUAUUUAAGUCAGGGGUGAAAUCCCGGGGCUCAACCCCGGAACUGCCUUUGAUACUGGGUAUCUCGAGUCCGAGAGAGGUGAGUGGAAUUCCGAGUGUAGAGGUGAAAUUCGUAGAUAUUCGGAGGAACACCAGUGGCGAAGGCGGCUCACUGGCUCGGUACUGACGCUGAGGUGCGAAAGCGUGGGGAGCAAACAGG